UUUUAAAAGAAUGAAAGAAGACAAAAGAAUAUUCAAACUAGUCAUCAGUAUACUCACUUCCAGCGCUGUUCUCGUCAGCACCGGCCAGGAGCACAGCUACUUGAACAUCAUCGCUGACAAGAGCAGUUCCAACAUCGUACUAUCAAACAGUAAUUACAUUUGAGCACAUCUAAUUGAUUACUGGUGGCCCGGAGACCUAACAACUCAAGAGCAACUGCUGCGCGAAUGAAUCUACUACCGGAUCGGAAUCGCGACCCGCUGAGAUCCGGCCAGAAACUCAGCGAGCUGAUGCAUGAGUUAAGGCCGUAACGUCUCAAUAUUGUGACAUCUGUGGGCUCCGCUAAAACAUCAAAAGAAGAGAAGAGAAGGAAGACAUUAGAAGGAAAGAACAUAUAAAAACUUUAUGUGACAGCUUAAAUAUAGUUUAAUUUAGUACUCUACUCAGUGAUGCACUGGCGUAAUCGUGCAUACCCUGAAUACUAAGACCAGAUUGAUUUAUUUAUUUGUUAAUCAAAAGCAAUAAAAAAUUAGUGUAAUUAGUCACAGGCUGUUUGCCAACGGUGAUCGGACCAAUGAACCAGAGAUCACUUCUAUCCUCCUCACCCGAAACUGCUUCUGUCGGGGAAAGCGGUAGGCAGCGGCUUGGCUCUGCUCCUGGUAUUGCUGAAGUCCAUGGGCGAUGGUAACCACUCACCAUUAGGUGAGCCAUAUGCUCGUAUGUCUACAAGGGCAAUAAAAAAAAUUUACCUACCGUUUACAGCUCGAAGUGCCGAUAGCUAGAUGCUAAUGUCAGUUCUGUGGUCACGGAUUGACUUGUAAUGUGGAAAUCUCGAAGGUCCCAGGCUCAUUAAAAUUCCCAACAUGGUACGUGAGGAAUGUCUACCUUCACGACGAUCUAAAUUUAGAACCGGUGUCUUAAGAUAGCGUUAGAACGCUAUUUCGACCAAACGGCGCGAAACGAUAAUCCUUUUAUCGUGGCCGCUGUCGACCGAAACAUGUCGUGACGGAUCCCUAGGACCUAGUGGUUUUAGGCCCCUCAAGCACCGGUCACCAUCCUCUUCGAACUCCUGGAUUAAGACGACGAGUUCGACGAACGAAGUUACCUAUACACACAACCCACUUAAUUUCUCGCCGGAUCUUCUCCGUGACUCACGAUUCCGAUCCGGUGGUAGAUUCUGUAAAGCACUGCCCUUGCUAGGACUAGUGUUAGCAAAUUGUCUCAGAUUGAGCGCGCGAGCUCACCUACCCGUUCGCCCUUCGAUGGAAUAGCCCCUUAGCCUACCACCGAAUAGAUAAGGAGGGAAAGUUCCAUUAUAGGUAAAAACCCGUACAUUAAUUUGAUUGAAAAUGUAAGCAGCGCCAGCGGCGAAAAUUUAAAGUAAUUUGUGAAUAAAGGCAACUUCACUCCACGCCUCUCGCUAGCCACUUUACUUUUUUUUUUAUUGCUAGAUGGUCGAACGAGCUCACGGCCCACCUGAUGUUAAGUGGUUACCGGGGCCCAUAGACAUCUCCAACAUAAAUGCCGCCAACCACCUUGAGACAAGAGUUCUAAGGUAUCAGUUUUACAAUAUAUCGGCUGCCCCACCCUUGAAACCGAAACGCAUUACUGCUUCACCGCAGAAAUAGGCAGGGCGGUGGUACUUACCCGCGCGGACUCACAAGAGGUCCUACCACCAGUAAUUAGGCAAAUUAUAAUUUUGCGGGUUUCAUUUAUAUUACACGAUGUUAUUCCUUCACCGUGGAAGUCAAUCGUGAACAUUUGUUGAGUACGUAUUUCAUUAGAAACAUUGGUACCCGCCUGGGAUUCGAACACCGGUGCAUCGCUCAACACGAAUGCACCGGACGUCUUAUCCCUAAUAGUGCUUCUUUGACGCUCUGAAGUGACCAGUAGACGGCACCAAAUUUAUUAAAUUAACAAAAACCAAAGUGGAAUAAUCAGACAUUUAAUUUAUGGAUGGAUUUUUUUCCCUACCUAAGCUUGUUUCCUCUAGAGGUCAUGCUAGCUUCGCCGAACGUGUAGGCGAGCUCACGGGGCUCAGCCUGGCGGCUUUCUUGUCCUCGAGCGACCCGGUUUAAGUAUGUGACAUAAACAACUGAAAACAAUCCAGUGGACGGUGCGUGCCCAGCCUCAAACCGGUCACGUCUCGUACAGGAGAUACGCGUGAUGACGCGUUUUGAAGUCGUCGUGGCCUAAAGGAUAAAACGUCCGGUGCACUGUAAUAAAAAUCAAACCCGAAAAAUUAUAAUUUGCUUAAUUACUGGCGGUAGGAACUCUUGUGAGUCCAUACGAGUAGGUACCAUCACCCUGCCUAUUUCAGCCGUGAAGCAGUAAUGCGUUUCAGUUUGAAGGAUGGGGCGUUGUAACUAUACUGAGACCUUAGAACUCAUAUCUCAAGGCGGGUAGCGGCAUUUACGUUAUAGAUGUCUAUGGGCUCCGGUAACCACUCAACACCAGGUGGGCUGUGAGCUCGUCCACCCGUCUAUGCAAUAAAAAUCAAAUAAAAUAAAAUAAAAGAGAUGUAGCCGGAUCGCGAGCACAUCUCCAGUUCACGUGAAUCACAUGAUCAAAGCAUGCUAUGGUAUUUAAAAGUGCACUGAUAACAAAAGCAUUAAGUUCUUUUCAAAAGACGAUCUGCAAUAAAGAUAAAUCGCGAACAUCACAGUGAUUCCUAUCUAAGGAUUACAUUACUUGAUUUUUGCAUGUCUGCAUUAGUAUUCAUAUUUUUAUCUAAGUCUUUCGUUAAUAUUGCUUGUUCGUUUUCCGGACAGGUGGCCCAAUGUGGAUUUUAGAGUGACCCACACUGGGUUUGUUAUCUGCGAACGAGGUGACGGAAUUGCAUUAGAGCAAAGUAUGAAGAGUCCGAGCAUAGCAUAGGAAGUCAUAUCAAACCGCGACGGGGCAACGCAAAACCGCUGUCGCCCGUCACAUGUCUUGUCGGAUUCCCUAGAUUCACUCUUGGUGCUUUUAGGUCCUUCAAGCACCGGUCAACGUCCUCGUCAAACUCAUCGAGUACGACGAAGAGUUCGACGAGCGAACUAACCCAUAGACACAGGAGACUCCGAUCCGGUGGUAGAUUCUGCGAAGCACUACUCUUGCUAGGGCUGGUGUUAGCAAAUUCUCUCAGGUUGAGCCCGUGAGCUCACCUACCCAUCCGGGUGUAACUGGAAUAGCCUAUUAGGCUACCAACAAAUAGGUAGGAGAAAAAACAUAGGAAGAUCGAUUGGUAUAUGCUUUUCGGGAUAUUGGGCCUAUAGAGAAAACCUACUGAGUUUCUCGUCGGAUCUUCUCAGUGGGUCAUGAUUCCGAUCCGGUGCUAGUUUCAGUAAAGCACUAUGGCUUGCUAGGGAUAGUGUUUGCAAGUCCUCUCAGUUCGAGCUAUUUGAAAUGGCUCCAUAGGCUACCAACGAUUAGUUAGCGAAAUAAUGGGAUUUUGGGAUAUUUUUUUAUAAAAUGAACUAAAAUCGUUAAUCAUUAAAUAAUUAGAAUUACAACCGACAUAAUGUAAAGGAAUUAUAAGAUUUUAAAAAGUGUUAUAGCAAUUCUACAUUUUACCUACAACGCUGCACUGUGAUGCGCAUACACAAAGAUAACCCUCAGUAAUCUACCCAUCGCCAGCACACUACGACGUCACCGAUCACUAUAUAAGCGGACGCAGCCCGUUUUCGAUAGCUAGACGGCAACGAGUACGAUAGCCCAGCAGUCUGCUCGUUUGUCCAAGCUUGAUCUGAGCGGUAGCCCCGCAGCCCUCAGAAAAAGCAUCAGCUAGGAGGUUAAGGAACGCAGUAGCCACGCAGUCCGUGCCAAGAACCACCCUUUUUUUUGGUAAGAAUGAAAUCGCCGGACUUCCACACUCCACUGGGGAUGGCGGGCGGGCCAAGUCGGAGUCGAACCGGCUAAAAACCUUCUGUCGCUCAACAAUCCACAUCUAAACCUCGCAUGAAACUGAGCUCAUGAAAAGGUAAAGGAGGGAAAUUGAGGUGUCUAGUCCGGAGCUCAUCUCUCCCAUCGCCCUCCCCCUCGGGACGCUGGACCGGCGGUCGUCGGCGCCACGACCACCAGCCCCCUCGGUCAGCUAUCCGAAGCCUGCCUAGAUGGCGCCCGUUUGAAUGGGUUAUCCCACUGAAUACCCCGCUGGAUUAGAACCAGCGUGGGUCCAAACCGGCCUUCCAUCACCCGGAUGCUCCUGCCUAAAACGCGUGAAGAGCAGCUUGCAUAUCGUCUUCUUAGACUCCUCUCGCCGGUCCCGAGACCGACAUGUGAGGGGGACCCGAAACAAUUAGAGGGAGGGCCAGGGCUUGGGCGAGAUCCGCCUCCCUGGCCCACGCUCGACGGCGGUGGGCUUUUACGUCUCUCACGCGCCCCACCGCCUCCUUCUGCGAGAUGGUGCACUCGCAAAAGUCGAGCAUUGCCUUCCAUGACUCAUCGUCGCCUAUUCAUUUCCUAUUUUUGCGAAGAGGUCACGGCGCCACCCCUCCCAUGCGGGGCAGACGACGAGCGCAUGCUCCGCCGUGUCCAAGUCGCAACCACAAUGGUGGCACUGUGCUAUCGGCUCGCUCCGAUCCGAUGCAAGAACUCACCAAAGCAAUCAUGCCCAGUGAGCACCUGCGAAGGCCGGAAAGUGAGGCGUACUCGGUCACGAUUUACCCAAUCCACAAGGACCGGGCGAAUCGCCUCGACGGUGCUACGACCAACUGAAGGAUCGGCCAGCCGCCUGGACCAUGACUCCAUAUGGGCAUCGUUAGGUGGCGCUGUCCGGGGGCUGUGGAACCACAUUGCCUCGGAUUUACUGAGCGCCACGUCGAGGCCCUAUCUCCUGAUUUUGCCGACAACAUGCGCCACCUCAGCGGUGGCAAGACGAGCAGACGCAGCGAAACCCCCCUCCCCGGGCCACGAUCAAGAACCCCCUUAGGAAUUUGUUUUUUUACCUAAAUAUCUACGUAUCCGUAUGUUUUUUGUAUUAUUAGUUAUAAGAAUGAAUAAAGUCCUGUUUAAUCAGA